UCUUGGUCAUUUAGAGGAAGUAAAAGUCGUAACAAGGUUUCCGUAGGUGAACCUGCGGAAGGAUCAUUAAAGAAAUUUAAUAAUUUUGAAAAUGGAUUUUUUUGUUUUGGCAAGAGCAUGAGAGCUUUUACUGGGCAAGAAGACAAGAGAUGGAGAGUCCAGCCGGGCCUGCGCUUAAGUGCGCGGUCUUGCUAGGCUUGUAAGUUUCUUUCUUGCUAUUCCAAACGGUGAGAGAUUUCUGUGCUUUUGUUAUAGGACAAUUAAAACCGUUUCAAUACAACACACUGUGGAGUUUUCAUAUCUUUGCAACUUUUUCUUUGGGCAUUCGAGCAAUCGGGGCCCAGAGGUAACAAACACAAACAAUUUUAUCUAUUCAUUAAAUUUUUGUCAAAAACAAGAAUUUUCGUAACUGGAAAUUUUAAAAUAUUAAAAACUUUCAACAACGGAUCUCUUGGUUCUCGCAUCGAUGAAGAACGCAGCGAAAUGCGAUACGUAAUGUGAAUUGCAGAAUUCCGUGAAUCAUCGAAUCUUUGAACGCACAUUGCGCCCCUUGGUAUUCCAGGGGGCAUGCCUGUUUGAGCGUCAUUUCCUUCUCAAACAUUCUGUUUGGUAGUGAGUGAUACUCUUUGGAGUUAACUUGAAAUUGCUGGCCUCUUCAUUGGAUGUUUUUUUUCCAAAGAGAGGUUUCUCUGCGUGCUUGAGGUAUAAUGCAAGUACGGUCGUUUUAGGUUUUACCAACUGCGGCUAAUCUUUUUUUAUACUGAGCGUAUUGGAACGUUAUCGAUAAGAAGAGAGCGUCUAGGCGAACAAUGUUCUUAAAGUUUGACCUCAAAUCAGGUAGGAGUACCNGCUGAACUUAAGCAUAUCAAUAAGCGGAGGAA
rnacentral:rRNA from 1 species